AAGUGUGUGAGUACUAUUACUAUACUAAAAGUGAGCUGAGACACAAGGCAUGGUGUGGGUGUUAAUAAUUCUAUCCUUAUUUUGUCUUUGGGGCCCGUUUCAGAAUAUUACUAAAUAUGUAAGGCAGUCCAGGUAUUGCUUUGAUAUAAAGUAUAUGCUAUGGUAUGUCACAUGAGGAUAGUUUGCUGUUAAAAGUCUGAAAGGUAGUAUAUUUCAAAUAUACUACAUGUAGAAUAGAUUCCAAAAAUCCUUAAUUGGGACUGUUGAAGUAACAGCUGUUCUGAAUGACAUUUCUUUUUGC
rnacentral:lncRNA from 1 species